rnacentral:lncRNA from 1 species
CGAAGAGGAGGCGGGGAGGAGGCGGGGAGGAGGGGGGAAGGGUUCGGGGAGAGGGAGGAGGGGAAGCAGAGGGGACGAUGAGGUGCGGAGGCGUUGGCAGUUGACUUUUGCUGAUGGAGCCUCUCUGAAGGGCAAAUUCAAAGUACAGCUGGGUGCUGCAGCACUGGAGUGCGAACUUGUGGCUGUGGUUAUGAAGGAGCCUCGUCAGCUAUGCCUUUAGCCCCUGGUGAAGCAGUGCCAGUCACACUUUGCCAGUCAAACGGAGAGGCAGCAGUAGUAAGACCAGACCAAAUCAAACCAAACCAAGCAAACCACGGGGAAUGGAGACACAGAGUUUCAUUCUGUCACCCAGGCUGGAGUGCAGAUGCAGUGGCAUGAUGAUAGUGCACUACAACUUGGAACUCCUGGGCUCAAGCCAUCUUCCCUCCACUGCCUCCAAGUAGCUGGGGACUACAGUUUGGGGAGUACCUUUCCAAGGCUUUUGUCUGAAUUUGCAAGUAAUUCUAUUUCUAAAAUGCGACUGCAUUUUGUGAAGAGAAUACUGCAUACCCUCAUCCCACUUUCAUGAGAAAGACCCUGCAGGUGAAAUAAAGAGUGGAAGGUAAGAGCAAAUUCAUAUUGGAUUAAAUAAAAUCUCCUCAGGUCACUUUUGUUUCUGGGAUUAGCUUUAGAGUAUUCUCAUUGUCUGCAUUGUCUGCUAUGGGCUGAAUUGUGUCUCUCCAAAAUUCAUAUGUUGAACCCCUAACCCACAAUGAAACUGAAUUUGGAGAUAGAGCCUAUAAAGUAAUGAUUAAGGUUAAAUGAGGUUAUAAAGGUGGGGUCCUGACAUGAGUGCUUGAGCUCUCUCACGCUUUCUCUUACACAAAGGUCAUGUGAGCACACAGCAUAAAGGCAGCUGCCCACAAGCCAGGAAGAGAAGCAUCAUCAGAAACCGACCAUACUGGCUUCCUGAUCUCAGACUUUCAGCCUCCAGAAUGCUUUAAGUGUUCACAGGAGGGAUGAAGUAAGAUUCUUAUUACUGAAGUCCUGAUGUGUUAAACAGCCCAAUUAGAGUAAGAGAUUCUCCAGUCAUUUCCAGGACAUUUGCUGACUGGUGUCACUAGAAGUUCAUGGGCUCCACCUUCAACUGGAUCCUCUGUGCUGCCCCAUAAUCCGGCUUUCCUGGUCCGCUCCCUCCUCUGUUCUCACCUGACUGGAAGAUGGGGGUGUGAAAGGAAAUGAAAUCUUGGGACCCUAAACUCAUUAAGCCAAAGGGAAAAGCUGGGCCGAGAACUGGAUGAUGCAACCUGCUUCCACCUUUUUGCUUCCUAAAUAAGAUGGCUACAAGAUGAAAAGCUAUACAUCUCUGCCAUAUUUUGCCCACAAGGAAAUUCCUAGUGAGCUUCAAGAUCUUUUAAGGUGUUUCUGUUAAAAUUUCACAAUUUCGCCAUUGCAAUGUAAAUUUAUAGCUUAUCCUUACAGGUGCAGUCAUCUCCCUGCCCACCAGACACAAAGGCAUAUCUGAUUGUUCUCCUGCCCCAUUUUGUCUAUGUUAUCUUAUGUAAAAUACAGAUACCCUGCAUUUUUCCUCUGCCCCAUUUGUCUAUAUCACCUUAUAUAAAAAAAUGCAGAGUCACUGAGCCGGACAAAGGCAUGAACGACUAUUUUUCCCUACCCCCGCUCUUACAUGAAAAUUGUGUACUUCUGAAUAUCCUGCCCUUUCCCCUUUAAAUUUGGAGCCCUCAGAAUCAUCUUCAGAGAAAGGCAUAGACCUGUCUCCCGGGCAUACAUCCUUAACUGUGGCAAAUAAACCUCCUAAAAUGAUUGAGACUU